CCUACGGGAGGCAGCAGUGGGGAAUAUUGCACAAUGGGGGGAACCCUGAUGCAGCGACGCCGCGUGAGUGAAGAAGUAUUUCGGUAUGUAAAGCUCUAUCAGCAGGGAAGAAGAUGACGGUACCUGACUAAGAAGCCCCGGCUAACUACGUGCCAGCAGCCGCGGUAAUACGUAGGGGGCAAGCGUUAUCCGGAUUUACUGGGUGUAAAGGGAGCGUAGACGGCAGGGCAAGUCUGGAGUGAAAGGCGGGGGCCCAACCCCGGGACUGCUUUGGAAACUGCCAUGCUGGAGUGCUGGAGAGGUAAGCGGAAUUCCUAGUGUAGCGGUGAAAUGCGUAGAUAUUAGGAGGAACACCAGUGGCGAAGGCGGCUUACUGGACAGUAACUGACGUUGAGGCUCGAAAGCGUGGGGAGCAAACAGGAUUAGAUACCCGAGUAGUC
rnacentral:rRNA from 1 species